rnacentral:tRNA from 1 species
GAGGAUGUAGCUCAGUUGACAGUGCUUGUUUAGCAUGCAUGAGGCCCUGGGUUCAAUCCCCAGCACUGCCA